rnacentral:rRNA from 1 species
UACAGAGGUCUCAAGCGUUGUUCGGAUUCAUUGGGCGUAAAGAGCGUGUAGGCGGCCAGGUAGGUCCGUUGUGAAAACUCGAGGCUCAACCUCGAGACGUCGAUGGAAACCAUCUGGCUAGAGUCCGGAAGAGGAGAGUGGAAUUCCUGGUGUAGCGGUGAAAUGCGCAGAUAUCAGGAAGAACACCUAUGGCGAAGGCAGCUCUCUGGGACGGUACUGACGCUGAGACGCGAAAGCGUGGGGAGCGAACAGG